rnacentral:tRNA from 1 species
GCCGGGGUGGCGGAAUGGUAGACGCGGUCGGCUCAAACCCGACUGGCUGAAAGGCUGUAGGGGUUCGAGUCCCCUCUCCGGCA